AGAGUUUGAUCAUGGCUCAGGAUGAACGCUAGCGGCAGGCCUAAUACAUGCAAGUCGAACGGAUGUAGCAGUACAUUAGUGGCGCACGGGUGCGUAACGCGUAUGCAACCUACCUUUCAGUGGGGGAUAGCCCGGGGAAACCCGGAUUAAUACCGCAUAAGAUAGUUGACUGGCAUCAGUUAAUUAUGAAACAUUUAUGGCUGAAAGAUGGGCAUGCGUUAGAUUAGCUAGUUGGUGAGGUAACGGCUCACCAAGGCGAAGAUGGGUAACUGGUCUGAGAGGACGAUCAGUCACACUGGAACUGAGACACGGUCCAGACUCCUACGGGAGGCAGCAGUGGGGAAUAUUGCGCAAUGGGCGAAAGCCUGACGCAGCAACGCCGCGUGAGUGAUGAAGGCCUUCGGGUUGUAAAGCUCUUUCGGCUGGGAAGAAGGGCUUCAAGGUGAAUAGUCUUGGAGUUUGAUGGUACCAGAAGAAGAAGCACCGGCUAACUUCGUGCCAGCAGCCGCGGUAAUACGAAGGGUGCGAGCGUUGUUCGGAAUUACUGGGCGUAAAGGGUUCGUAGGCGGGAGGAUAAGUUGAGUGUGAAAACCCCGGGCUUAACCUGGGACCUGCAUUCAAAACUGUCCUUCUUGAGUAUCGGAGAGGGUUGUGGAAUUGCUGGUGUAGGAGUGAAAUCCGUAGAGAUCAGCAGGAACACCUGAGGCGAAAGCGACAACCUGGUCGAAUACUGACGCUGAGGAACGAAAGCGCGGGGAGCAAACAGGAUUAGAUACCCCUGUAGUCC
rnacentral:rRNA from 1 species